GACGUAGGGCGCGAGCGUUGUCCGGAAUUAUUGGGCGUAAAGAGCUCGUAGGCGGCUUGUCACGUCGGUUGUGAAAGCCCGGGGCUCAACCCCGGGUCUGCAGUCGAUACGGGCAGGCUAGAGUUCGGUAGGGGAGAUCGGAAUUCCUGGUGUAGCGGUGAAAUGCGCAGAUAUCAGGAGGAACACCGGUGGCGAAGGCAGCUCGCUGGGACGUGACUGACACUAAGGCGCGAAAGCGUGGGGAGCGAACAGG
rnacentral:rRNA from 1 species